CAAUAGCGUAUAUUAAAGUUGUUGCGGUUAAAAAGCUCGUAGUUGGAUUUCUGCUGAGAACGACCGGUCCGCCCUUUGGGUGUGUAUCUGGCUCUUUCUUGGCAUCUUCUUGGUGAACGUUGCUGCACUUGACUGUGUGGAGCGCUACCCAGGACUUUUACUUUGAGGAAAUUAGAGUGUUUCAAGCAGGCAUACGCCUUGAAUACAUUAGCAUGGAAUAAUAAGAUAGGACCUCGGUUCUAUUUUGUUGGUUUCUAGAGCUGAGGUAAUGAUUAAUAGGGAUAGUUGGGGGCAUUCGUAUUUAACUGUCAGAGGUGAAAUUCUUGGAUUUGUUAAAGACGGACUACUGCGAGAGCAUUUGCCAAGGAUGUUUUCAUUGA
rnacentral:rRNA from 1 species